CAGAACUUUGGCCAAAGGUGAACGGAAUUUUUUAGGAGCAGCAGCCUCCUGCCCCAAGGCCGACCGGCACUGGCAGCACUUUCCUGUUGAAGAAAUCUUCCUGGCGUGUGGUUUCAAAGUGUAAGCACCUCAGUGAUGCACCCUGUCCUAAGCAUUGAGAGGCACGUUUACUUGUGAAUAUGAGACCAUGAGAUUCUCAAUGAUAGGAAAGUGCUGUCCCCCACGGCCUUGCACAGUGGCCUCGGGUAGAGCGGCUAUCAAGAGCAGACAGUGGUCCAGCCUGCUGGGCACCUGGCCUGGGCUGUGGCCCUCCAGCGGGCUGCCCCCUGGCCCCAGGUUAGGGCGUCCAGGAGAGGCUUAGGCCCUCUACUUCCUCACAGUUCCCCAGUUUGAGCCAUCGAAGGCCUUCUUCCUGCCCACCUCCCCGUCUCAGCCACAGCCGUUCCCAAGCACCAGCGUGGCUCCUGGUGCCAGUGACCUGCCAGGAGGCCCCUUGUGAUUAUAAAACCGUUCAGUUGGGCCGGGCGCAGUGGCUCACACCUGUAACCCCAGCACUUUGGGAGGCCGAGGCGGGCGGAUCACGAGGUCAGGAGAUCGAGACCAUCCUGGCUAACAUGGUGAAACCCCAUCUCUACUAAAAAACAAAAAUACAAAAAGUUAGCCUGGCAUGGUGGUGGGUGUGUGUAGUCCCAGCUACUUGGGAGGCUGAGGCAGGAGAAUGGCGUGAACCUGGGAGGCAGAGCUUGCAUGAGCUGACAUCGUGCCACUGCACUCUAGUCUGGGUGACAGAGCAAGACUCCAUCUC
rnacentral:lncRNA from 1 species